UCCCCUACUGAAUAACAUAUUCAUACAUC
rnacentral:piRNA from 1 species